AUGGGAAGCAUCGGAACCACCAACGGCAGCGGCAUCGGGCACGGCAGUGCCGCGGUGGCGCGGCGGCAGCACGCCGAAGGCCCCGCGGCCAUGCUCGGCAUCGGCACGGCGAACCCCACCGGCGUCGAGGUGCCCCAGAACAUCUUCGCCGAGAACCUCUUCCGCGUCACCAAGAGCGACCACCUCACUGAGCUCCAGCAGAAGCUCACCAGAAUCUGCGAGAAGACGGGCAUCGACAAGCGCCACUUCCACCUGACGGAGGAGACGCUGGUGGCGCACCCGGAGCUGUACGACCACGACGCGCAGUCGCUGGACAACCGCCUCGCCAUGACCGUCGACGCCGUGCCGAAGCUGGCGCAGUGCGCGGCCGCCAAGGCCAUCUCUGAGUGGGGCCGCCCGGCGAGCGAGAUCACCCACCUCGUCUUCAGCACCUACUCCGCCUGGGGAGCCCCUAGCGCCGACCUGCGGUUGGCCACGCUGCUCGGCCUCCGCCCCACGGUCAGCCGCACCAUCCUCAGCCUCCACGGCUGCUACGGCGGCGGCCGGGCGCUGGGCCUCGCCAGGGAGCUCGCCGAGAACAACCGCGGCGCGCGUGUCCUGGUGGCCUGCGCCGAGAUCACGCUCGUCUGCUUCGGCGGGCCCGACGGCGGCAACCUCGUCGGCCACGCGCUGUUCGGGGACGGCGCCGGCGCGGUCAUCGUCGGGGCCGGCCCCUUCCGCGACGGCGAGCAGAGCCCCAUCUUCGAGAUGGUCCACGCCACGCAGACCACGGUGCCCAAGACCGAGCACGCGCUCGGCAUGCAGGUCUCCGGCAGCGGCGUCGACUUCCACCUCGCCAUCCAGGUGCCCACGCUCAUCGGGCAGAACGUGGAGCGCUGCCUCCUCGACGCGUUCCGCGGAGGAGACGACGACGACGACGACGGCCAUGGUGCUCAUCUUCCGUCUCCGUUAUCAGGGAACGGGAAGUGGAACGACCUCUUCUGGGCGGUGCACCCGGGCGGCCGCCCCAUCCUGGACAACAUAGACAAGGUGCUCCAGCUGGAGCCGGAGAAGCUGGGGGCCAGCCGGCACGUGCUCCGCGAGUACGGCAACAUGAGCGGCGCGACCAUCGUCUUCGUGCUCGACGAGCUGCGCCGGCGCCGGAGCCUGCUGCCGGAGUGGGGCGCCAUGCUGGCCUUCGGACCCGGGGUCACAAUUGAGACCAUGGUGCUCCGCUGUCCACGCUAG
rnacentral:rRNA from 1 species